GCCUGCGGCGCGGCACGUUGAAAACACCAGUUAUCAAUGGGUCACUGAAGUGAAGCAACGUAGAACGUGGUUAGUAUCCGGAAGGGUGACCAUCUGGGCGUGCUGCUGGCU
rnacentral:rRNA from 1 species